AAAAAGGUGAAGGAGCGUAGUGAGAACAACUCUUGGACCCAGAAAGAGAGAACGAUGGGGACAGAAAGCAUAGAAGACGACGAGCAACUCCGUCGGAUGAAACUCGAAGUAGCCCUAGAAGUCAAAUCCCUUAGGCGGAUCAUCAGCGCUUAUCUCAACUAUCCAGAGGCAGCGGAGGAGGCUGUAAAAAGAAAUGAGAGAUCUUUUGAGAGGCUUCCGCCGGCUCACAAGGCAUUGCUGUGUCACCUUCCAUCUAAAUUUCAGAAACUUAGAUGGU